UACGAAGGGGGCUAGCGUUGUUCGGAAUUACUGGGCGUAAAGCGCACGUAGGCGGUCAUUUAAGUCAGGGGUGAAAUCCCAGAGCUCAACUCUGGAACUGCCUUUGAUACUGGGUGUCUUGAGUAUGGAAGAGGUGAGUGGAAUUCCGAGUGUAGAGGUGAAAUUCGUAGAUAUUCGGAGGAACACCAGUGGCGAAGGCGGCUCACUGGUCCAUUACUGACGCUGAGGUGCGAAAGCGUGGGGAGCAAACAGG
rnacentral:rRNA from 1 species